UACAGAGGUGGCAAGCGUUGUUCGGAAUUACUGGGCGUAAAGGGCGCGUAGGCGGUCUUUUAAGUUCCGUGUGAAAUCCCUCGGCUCAACUGGGGAACUGCACGGGAAACUGGAGGGCUUGAGUUCGGGAGAGGGAAGCGGAAUUCCGGGUGUAGCGGUGAAAUGCGUAGAUAUCCGGAGGAACACCGGUGGCGAAGGCGGCUUCCUGGACCGACACUGACGCUGAGGCGCGAAAGCCAGGGGAGCAAACGGG
rnacentral:rRNA from 1 species